GAAAUUGAAAAGGGCGUAUGGUGGAUGCCUUGGCAUCAAGAGGCGAUGAAGGAGGCGGAAGACUGCCAAAAGCUUCGGGGAGCUGUCAAUCAAGCUUUGAUCCGGAGGUUUCCGAAUGGGGAAACCCACCUAGGUAAAGCCUAGGUAUCUUUAACUGAAUACAUAGGUUAAAGAGGUUAACGACGUGAAUUGAAACAUCUUAGUAGCGUCAGGAAAAGAAAACGAAGUGAUUCCCUGAGUAGUGGUGAGCGAAAUGGGAAGAGCCUAAACCUGUACUGUGUAAGCUGGCAUGCGUUGCAGUGCGGGGGUUGUGGGAUGUAAUUUACAUACAGUGCCAUGUAUGUGCCAUUAAUUUACUACGCUAGCUGAAUUGUCCUGGAAAGGACAGCCACAGAAAGUGAUAGCCUUGUAAGCGAAAGCCUAGUAAAAUGGUGAUUACACACCCGAGUACCGUAGAGCACGUGAAAUUCUGCGGGAAUCUGCCCAGACCAAUGGGUAAGGCUAAAUACUACUUGAUGACCGAUAGUGUACAAGUACCGUGAGGGAAAGUUGAAAAGAACCCCGGAAGGGGAGUGAAAUAGAUCCUGAAACCAUAUGUUUACAAGCGGUGGUAGCGAUGUAUACGUACGCGCAACCACGUACCUUUUGCAUAAUGGGCCAACGAGUUACUAUGCGUUGCAAGGUUAAGCUUAGAAAGAGCGGAGCCGUAGCGAAAGCGAGUCUGAAUAGGGCGAUUUAGUAACGUAGAGUAGACCCGAAACCUAGUGAGCUAUCCAUGUCCAGGAUGAAGUCUCAGUUACAUGAGAUGGAGGUCCGAACCGGUGUAGGUUGAAAACUGCUCGGAUGAGGUGUGGAUAGGGGUGAAAGGCCAAUCAAACUAGGAAAUAGCUGGUUCUCUCCGAAAUAUAUUUAGGUAUAGCCUUGUUGAAUUCAUCGUGGUGGUAAAGCACAGUUGGAGCUUUGGGGGCGUAAGCUUACCGGGUUCUUACUAACUCUGAAUGCUACGAUGUUAGAAGACAGGAGUCAGACUGCGGGAGAUAAGUUCCGUAGUCGAGAGGGAAACAGCCCAGACCAUCAGCUAAGGUCCCUAAGCGUUCGUUAAGUGGGAAAAGAAGUGGAAAUACACAGACAACCAGGAGGUUGGCUUAGAAGCAGCCAUCCUUUAAAGAAAGCGUAACAGCUCACUGGUCGAGUGUUUUUGCGCUGAAAUAAGAACGGGGCUCAAACGAACCACCGAAGCUAUGGCUUUCAUGCUUGCAUGGAGGGGUAGGAGAGCGUUCUUUGACAGAUACUAGCCUGACUGUGAAGACAGGUGUGUGGUCAAAGAAGCGAUUAUGUUGGCAUAAGUAACGAAAAAACAGGUGAGAUUCCUGUUCGCCGAAAAUCUAAGGUUUCCGUGAGAUCGGUUUAUCCUCUCAGGGUUAGUCGACCCCUAAGCCGAGGCCAGUUGGCGUAGGCGAUGGGAAACGGGUUAAUAUUCCCGUACCAUUUGACAGCAUUUGAGCGAAGGGGGGACGCAGUAGGGUAGGUUUACUUGGGGUAUGGAUUUCCAAGUUAAGCACAAAGAGGGUUCUGGUAGGUAAAUCCGCCGGAGCAUAACCUUGAAGUGUUAUGAGCAUGUCAGCCACUUGUGGCAGGCGUGUUAAGCUGAUCCCACACUGACUAGAAAAUCCUCUAGCGAGUUGAUCAAAUGAUCGUACCGCAUACCGACACAGGUAGAUGGGCUGAGAAUGCUCAGGCGUUGAGAGAAUUAUCAUUAAGGAACUCGGCAAAAUGGCCCCGUAACUUUGGGAUAAGGGGUGCCCGGGAGGUUCUCGAUUUUACGAUUGAGUGCGUCCUUGGGUUACAAUAAAGAGGCCCAACCGACUGUUUAGCAAAAACACAGGGCUCUGCAAACUCGAAAGAGGAAGUAUAGAGUCUGACACCUGCCCAGUGCCGGAAGGUUAACAGGAGGGGUUAGUCUUCGGACGAAGCUCUGAAUCGAAGCCCCGGUAAACGGCGGCCGUAACUCUGACGGUCCUAAGGUAGCGAAAUACCUUGUCGGGUAAGUUCCGACGUGCAUGAAUGGUGUAACGAGUUGGGCGCUGUCUUAAUGAUACACUCAGUGAAAUUGUAGUAUCGGUGAAAAUGCCGGUUACCCGCGACAGGACGGAAAGACCCCGUGCACCUUUACUAUAGCUUGACAUUGAUUUUUGGAUUGAUUUGUGUAGGAUAGGCGGGAGACUAUGAAACUGGGACGCUAGUCCUAGUGGAGUCAUACUUGAAAUACCGCUCUUAUCCGUUUGGAAAUCUAACUUUGAAUGCCCGUUAACCGGGCAAAGGACAGUGUCUGGUGGGUAGUUUGACUGGGGUGGUCGCCUCCUAAAUUGUAACGGAGGCAUUCUAAGGUUCACUCAAGACGAAUAGAAAUCGUCUGAAGAGCGCAAAGGCACAAGUGAGCUUAACUGUGAGACCUACAAGUCGAUCAGAUGCGAAAGCAGGACUUAGUGAUCCAGCGGUACCGAGUGGAAGGGCCGUUGCUAAAUGGAUAAAAGGUACGCCGGGGAUAACAGGCUUAUCUCCUCUGAGAGUCCACAUCGACGAGGAGGUUUGGCACCUCGAUGUCGGAUCAUCGCAUCCUGGGGCUGAAGAAGGUCCCAAGGGUUUGGCUGUUCGCCAAUUAAAGCGGUACGUGAUCUGGGUUCAGAACGUCGUAAGACAGUUCGGUCCUUAUCCGUCGUGGGCGUAGGGUAUUUGAAGGAAGCUGUUCCUAGUACGAGAGGACCGGAAUGGGCGAGCCGAUGGUGUUCCAGUUGUUUACCAAAAGCAGCGCUGGGUAGCUAAGCUCGUAAGAGAUAACCGCUGAAAGCAUCUAAGUGGGAAACUCGACCUAAGAUAAGAUACCCCGAAUAACUUCGGUUAUUCAUAAGACUCCUUGAAGACUAUGAGGUUGAUAGGCUGGAGGUGCAAGCACAGUAAUGUGUUCAGCUGACCAGUACUAAUAAGUCGAACGUUUUUACCUG
rnacentral:rRNA from 1 species